rnacentral:rRNA from 1 species
AUAAACGGCCGCAAAAUUUUAACUGUGAUAAUGUAGCACAAUCAUGAGCCGCUUAAUUAGCGGAUGGAAUGAAUGGUGAAACGAGAGCCCCACUGUAUUAAAGAAAAAUCUAAUGAAAUUUAAAUAAUAGUUAAGAUGCUAUUUAAAAUUGUAAGACGAUAAGACCCUAUAAAGCUUAACUAUAAUUCUUUACUUUUAAAAAAAACACUAAAGAUUAAGGAAAAUGGUAGUUUAGUUUGGGCCCCGAUGUUUUAAAAAAAAAGAACAUAAUUAAAAUAAUUACUGUAUAAAUAAUAAUUUUAACAGUUACAAAGUAGAAUAAAGACCCAUUAUAACAUAAAAAAAUGAAUAAUGAUCAUCAAAUAAAAGCUACUUUAGGGAUAACAGGAUAAUCUUAUUGAAGAGAAGAUAUCAAAAAUAAGGUUUGUCACCUCGAUGUUGAAUUAAGGUAACCUUUCAAUGCAGCAG